rnacentral:rRNA from 1 species
CCUACGGGAUGCAGCAGUGAGGAAUAUUGGUCAAUGGCCGGAAGGCUGAACCAGCCAAGCCGCGUGAAGGACGAAGGUGCCAAGCAUUGUAAACUUCUUUUGUCAAGGGACAAAAUCAGGCUCGAGAGCCUGACCGAGGGUACUUGAAGAACAAGCAUCGGCUAAAUCCGUGCCAGCAGCCGCGUUAAUCCGGGGGAUGCGAGGGUUAUCCGGAUUUAUUGGGUUUAAGGGGUGCGUAGGCGGACUGUUAAGUCAGCGGUAAAAGCCCGGGGCUAAAACCCGGCGAGCCGUUGACACUGGCUGUGUUGAGAUGUCGAGAGGUAUGCGGAAUGCGCAGUGUAGCGGUGAAAUGCUUAGAUAUUGCGCAGAACUGCGAUUGCGAAGGCAGCAUACCGGCGGCGAUCUGACGCUGAGGCACGAAAGCGUGGGUAUCGAACAGGAUUAGAUACCCGGGUAGUC